rnacentral:rRNA from 1 species
GUGUCAGCCGCCGCGGUAAUACGGAGGGUGCAAGCGUUGUCCGGAUUUACUGGGUUUAAAGGGUGCGUAGGCGGAUGAUUAAGUCAGUGGUGAAAGCCUGCGGCUUAACCGCAGAAGGGCCAUUGAUACUGGUCAUCUUGAGUGCAGUGGAGGUAGGCGGAAUUUAUGGUGUAGCGGUGAAAUGCAUAGAUACCAUAAAGAACACCUAUAGCGAAGGCAGCUUACUACGCUGUAACUGACGCUGAGGCACGAAAGCGUGGGGAUCAAACAGGAUUAGAUACCCCAGUAGUCC